AUCGCUUCUCGGCCUUUUGGCUAAGAUCAAAGUGUAGUAUCUGUUCUUAUCAGCUUAAUCUCUGGUACGGUCUCCAUAGGGGACCCAGAAGAUUAAACUGAUUUUUGGAAAAUGACGGAGUGCUAGGGGCUUGCUCCACCUCUGUCGCGGGUUGACCCGGUAUUGCAGUACCUCCGGGAACGGCCCACCUUAA
rnacentral:snRNA from 1 species